rnacentral:ncRNA from 1 species
AUGGGGAUCGCGAUCUCCCCACGAGGCGACAGCCGAAGCAUCGCGUCCUGCCUUGUUUGACAAAGGACGCUGCCAUG